GGGGCUGUAACUCAGUGGUAGAGUGCCUCGUUUGCAUCUUCAAGAUUAUCUUCCAGAUCCUCUUGAUAAACAUCGAUGAAGUCCAGGGUUCGACUCCCUGCCGCUCCA